ACGUGCUAAGGAAAAAUGACAAUGCUAUUACACCCCUCUCAUGUGGAGGGGGCCCCACAUAAAAUAAAAUAUUCAUGGGCCCCCUCCAUGUGAGGGGGUGUAAUAUAUUGUGUACACCUCAUACACUUUGAGGUGUACACAUAGAAUUAUCCAGGGAAAAAUAUGCCACUUAUUCAUUGAAACCAAUAGUUGUGAGGGUGACCAUGUCUCCUACCUAUGAGAAAAGUUCUUAUCCAAUAAAGAUGAAGUGACGUUCAUCACUUUCAUUUUAGCCCAUGUUUAGGCUCCAUUUUAAUGUGUUUGAGGAAAAUAUAUUUUGGAAUGGUGAUUUUUAUGAAAAAUGUGGUUGGCCUUGACCCAAUUAUUGCCAAUUGGGUAGAGCGAGUUGGUCGGGGUGUACUUCCUUUAGAAGGAAACCUCGCUUGGUGAAGAUAUGCUCCUCCACUUCUUCCAAUCUCCUUUCUACCCUCGAAUACUAGGGAAAAAAGAGUUUUAGGAGUGGUAUUAUAUGACUCCUUGGAGAGCCCAUGCACCUUUCAUAUUAUGUUUGCCAUCUUCGAUAAAAGGGUGGAAAGAGUCAUGGUCUAGGUCAAGGGCAAGUGGCAAUUGGUUGAGGGAGAUAAAGCCUCAGCUUGCAUCGUGCCGACCCAAUAUUCCGAUGCUCAAACCAAGACCAUCUCAAUGCUCUACAGAUCGAGAAGAAUCUUCCAAUUGGGUGUGUGAAGGCGAGCAGCAGCGGAUAACGGAGGAGCGUGAGGUCAUGCGUAGAUUAGGUUAUGGUGCAUGGCUUGGAAUUUCGAGGUGACUAUAAAAGGCACACUUCCUUGGUGAUUUUUUGAUCAUUUGGUGUUAUUAGCUUGAUAGUUCAUGUACUGUGCAGUAUGUUAAGAUAGUAGCUAGAGGUAGUGCGUUGGUUGUUGUUGAUUUUUUUAGAAUUUGGUGAUUUCUUUGAUUCAUAAUUGAUUAGUUGUAGAUUCUAUGAUGACGAUUGAUACGGAUGAUUCACUUCAAUCUAUUAGUGUCAAAUUAAAUGGUAAAAGUUAUUCA